CUUAUGUGUGUGCAUGCGUGUGUGUUUACAUGUAUAUUUGUGUGGACUCUCAUAGGAGCUUCUGAACAGGAGUUCUCUAGAGUCACAGAAGCUGGGAUUAAUGGAAGAAGUGUCCUGUCUAAAACUGAAGCUGGGGAGCAUGGAGGAGAAACACAUCAACAGUGCUGAGAGACAACAUAAAGCUGAGAGUGUAGUGAAUCUGAUUAGCGAGCUACAGGAGCAGAUGUGUAGGAUUCGGCAGGAGAUCUCUAGUAAGAUCCAAGAGAAGCCAGCGGAGAUGGCCCCAGAGGAAGGUUGUGGCAGUGAGCCAGCGCUUGCCUCUGUGACUGAGCCAAAGCCAGCGAACCUGCAUCAGGAGGUCAAGAUGCUUAAGCAUCGAGUUAAUGAGCUGGAACAGGAGAAGAUGCAGUACGAACAGAAGCUCAAGGUGACACAGAUCAGGAGCUACAAAGGUUAAAUACAGGAAUGGAUACACUUAUUGCCGCA
rnacentral:lncRNA from 1 species